GAACUGCGAUAAGUAAUGUGAAUUGCAGAAUUCAGUGAAUCAUCGAGUCUUUGAACGCACAUUGCGCCCCCUGGCAUUCCGGGGGGCAUGCCUGUCCGAGCGUCAUUGCUGCCCUUCAAGCCCGGCUUGUGUGUUGGGUCGUCGUCCCCUCCGGGGGACGGGCCCGAAAGGCAGCGGCGGCACCGCGUCCGGUCCUCGAGCGUAUGGGGCUUUGUCACCCGCUCGAUAAGGACCGGCCGGGCGCCAGCCGGCGUCUCCAACCUUUUUUUCUCAGGUUGACCUCGGAUCAGGUAGUGAUACCCGCUGAACUUAAGC
rnacentral:misc_RNA from 1 species